CUGUGGAGAUACACGCUGUGGUUGAAAAAACGAUAGCCGAGUAUCAGGCAGAUGUUUCCCUUUCAUAGGGGGAGAUCCGGCGUUUACGGAUGCUGCUGAAAUUGCAAAGAGCAGGUUAGCGUGAGUGACGACGAUGAGGCAUUCGAGAGACAAAUAACUGUCCUGGAGAAAGAAAACAGAAGGCUGGAGAAGGACCAGUAUCAGCACCAGUAUUGGAACCGAGCAUCCAAAACAGACUGACAUUGGAGGAGGGAUAAUGGUUUCAGAGGCAGCGCUCCACUACAUUGAUCAUUCACACCACCAUAAGCUUACCAAUGGCCUUCUGACGCUGUUGUUCUCAAACGAGGAGCUGGCAGAGAGCAGCCUCAGUGGAAAGAGGUGUAAUGCUCACAAGAAUGAUAAUGUCAAGAAGGGCCUUGACAUCAGACGCCUUGAGCCCAUUGUUGGAUGUCAUGGAGAAAUGUGUUGUCGGAAAAAAAGAUGUAUUCACAAUUAUCGGCGUAAACUCAAUUAUGAAGACAAGCUGUCAAAAGGACUUAUUUCAAGGAGGAGGAAGAAAUAGAUAUCAUUGAACUACUGCCCAUCAUAUAUAUAUGUAUGUAUGUACAGUGGGGCAAAAAAGUAUUUAGUCAGCCACCACUUGUGCAAGUUCUCCCACUUAACAAGAUGAGAGAGGCCUGUAAUUUUCAUCAUAGGUACACUUCAACUAUGAC
ensembl:lncRNA